rnacentral:tRNA from 1 species
GGGGACUUAGCUCAGUGGUAGAGUGCUUGCCUAGCAAGCACAAGGCCCUGGGCUCAGUCCUCA